GAUGAACGCUGGCGGCGUGCCUAAUACAUGCAAGUCGAGCGAACGGACGAGAAGCUUGCUUUUCUGAUGUUAGCGGCGGACGGGUGAGUAGCACGUGGAUAACCUACCUAUAAGACUGGGAUAAUUUCGGGAAACCGGAGCUAAUACCGGAUAAUAUUUUGAACCGCAUGGUUCAUAAGUGAAAGACGGUCUUGCUGUCACUUAUAGAUGGAUCCGCGCUGCAUUAGCUAGUUGGUAAGGUAACGGCUUACCAAGGCAACGAUGCAUAGCCGACCUGAGAGGGUGGUCGGCCACACUGGAACGGAGACAGGCUCCAGAGUACUACGGUAGGCAGCAGUAGGGAAUCGUCCGCAAAAGUGGAAAACCUGACGGAGCGAGGCCGCGUGAGUUGUGAAGGUGUUCGGAGCGUAAAGCUCUGUUAUUGGUGAAGAACAUAUGUGUAAGUUACUGUGCACAGCGUGACGGUACCUAAUCAGAAAGCCACGGCUAACUACGUG
rnacentral:rRNA from 1 species